CAAUGCAUCUCAAUACCAGCUGGUACUACUGCUGGUACUACUUUUUCAUUUGAAAAGCAUUAGUCCAGGACUAAUGAAGUUCACAAUCUGCCCAUGAAAAUAUGCAAAAUUUGGAGACUGGAAGUUUCUACAAGUACAAUGCCUGCAGUUCCCAAGCAAGGAUGUGAACCCACAUCAUGGGAGAUCAUGUGCAAAUUGCUGUGA
rnacentral:lncRNA from 1 species